rnacentral:rRNA from 1 species
CAGUCGUACCGGCGGAUAAUCAGCCUUUCGGGUGCGAUUCUGUGGGGUUUGAGGAGCUUAACACCUUCAUGCUUUUGCAUAUUCGUGCUCUUGGGUGUACUUGCCCGUGUGGUUGGUUAACAUCAAUUUUGGUGGUCAUAAAAUGACUGGAGGAAUGUAGCUUUGGUCUCGUAUCGAAGUGUUAUAGACUCUGGUAGAUGUGAUGAUCGAGAUUGAGGAUUGCAACGGAUACCCUUCGGGGCUACCUGUCUGAUCUCUGAUCGUUGCUCUGGUGCUGAAGCUUGCUUACGGUUAUCG